rnacentral:rRNA from 1 species
UAGUAAGCGAAGACCGAUAGCGAACAAGUAGCGUGAGCGAAAGUUUGAAAAGCUCCUUUGACAGAGAGUGAAUAGUGCCUGGAGUCGUGACGAUGACAAUGAAAGCACCUCCAUUUCAGUGACCAGAACCAGCCCCGCAGCACGCUCCGCCUGGGCCUGCAUUCGCCAUCUCGCCGGUUUCCCUGUGCACGAGUGGGGCAUUGGUGGUACGAGCGGGCUUAUUGGCAGGACACCGCAAUCGCGUGAGUCCCCGCCUUGCCCGUCACGCUCUAUUCUGGUUUUUCCCGGAAGUGGGGUGUCUUCACCCUCUUGAAACACGGACCAAGGAGUCAAACAGACGCGCGAGAGAGAAAUUAUUUUUAAUAUUUCUCUCGUACUGAAAGGGAUCCGCACGGACCUGUGGUGUGCAUUGUAAUAAGCUCAACACCGACCGGCCCUACGGGUUACGUCCGAGUGUGCCUGUUUGACCCGAAAGGUGGUGAACUAUGCCUGAACAAGGUGAAGUCCGGGGAAACUCGGAUGGAGGCCUGUACGGUGCUGACGUCAAAUCGCUCGUAUGAUUUGGGUAUCGGAGCGAAAGACUCAUCGAACCACCUAGUAGCUGGUUCACAUCGAAGUUUCCCCAGGAUAGCUGGUGCUAUAUGUUAUUGUGAAGUACUGUGCGGUAAAGCAAAUCGUUAGAGGCAUCGGAGUUCUUCGUAGUUUGACCUAUUCUCAAACUUUAAAUGUGCAGCAAUGUCCCCUGCCUUUACCAAUCGUGAGGCAGGCAGCAGUCGUAUUAGGCACCAAGUGGGCCUUCUUCGGUAAGCGGAGCAGGCGAUGCGGAAUGAACCGCUUAGGGAUUGUGGCGUCGAAACUUGAGGCUCAUUCUCGAUACGUGAAAAGGGUGUUAGUGGAUGAGGACAGUUGGACGGUGGCCAUGGAAGUCGGCAUCCGCCAGGGGUGUGUAACAACUCACCAACCGAAUCCACCGGUACCACA